rnacentral:rRNA from 1 species
UCGGGAAUUUUGGGCAAUGGGCGAAAGCCUGACCCAGCAACGCCGCGUGAAGGAUGAAGUAUUUCGGUAUGUAAACUUCGUAAGAAUAGGAAGAAUAAAUGACGGUACUAUUUGUAAGGUCCGGCUAACUACGUGCCAGCAGCCGCGGUAAUACGUAGGGUGCAGGCGUUAAUCGGAAUUACUGGGCGUAAAGCGUGCGCAGGCGGUUUGGUAAGACAGAUGUGAAAUCCCCGGGCUUAACCUGGGAACUGCAUUUGUGACUGCCAGACUAGAGUGUAGCAGAGGGGGGUAGAAUUCCACGUGUAGCAGUGAAAUGCGUAGAUAUGUGGAGGAAUACCGAUGGCGAAGGCAGCCCCCUGGGCUAACACUGACGCUCAUGCACGAAAGCGUGGGGAGCAAACAGGAUUAGAUACCCUCGUAGUCCCUGAGCGGGCUGGCAAGGCGCAU